AAACGACGAUAUCUUCCACAUUAUUGAUCAGAUUAAGGUUUAAAAGGGUACAGCUCUGUCUCUAUAAAAGAGAGGGGGGGGGGGCAGAAGAAUAGAAAUAAUAAGACCCCUGCAAAUAAUUUAAAAUUGGUGAAUUGAUCUCAAGAGAACUGAAACUAAAGAAUUGCGAGUUGAAGAAAGAACUUGAUCUCGCAUCUAGGUCUUGCUCUGAAUUCCUGGAAGGUAUUGUGGUGCAGAUAAAUCAUAAAAGAAGGAAAUGUGGCCAGACCAGAACCAGUGGUGGAUUUGGGCCUCUGAAGAAAAAGAUUAAACAUGAAAACUUCCCAGAGGAAUAUGUUGAAGAUAUGAAGGAUGUGGAUAUAAUAAGAGAAAGUGAAAACAUAUUGGACAAAUCUGAACCCUUGGCAAGUACAGUUCUAACACCAGAUGCCAUGGAUGCAGAUGCAGACAACAAUCCAAUAAUUCAGGAACAGUUGGAAGCACGAGACUCCAUUGAAAAACUGAAAGCCGAAGAAAAUAUCACAGAGCUGACACUGAAAAACUCCAUUAUCUCAGAAAGUAAUAUUUGGUUACAAAAGGAAAAGGAGGAAUUAUCAGCGUUUGUUGAUUCAAUCAAGAAUAAGUUGACUGAAUUCUCAUUAAAUCUACCAACUCAUACAGCUGGAGGGGUGUUCAGGAGGAACAGGAGAGGAUGGUUUAAUUGCCCAGCGCACAAACCUGAUCAAUCAGAACAGGGAUUUAAAGCAAAACCUGGAGAAAGACCAACUUGUAAAUAAAAGUGAAAUACUUAAGAAGAAGAUUGAUGAACUAAAUAUAGAAAAACAAUGGAGAAAAACAAUUAGUUCUGUGUGGAGGUUGCAAAGAUCAAAGAAGAACUAAAUGAGUCAAUCAAUCAAUAAGGCUGUUCUUAUCAACCUGAUCAACCAGAACAGGGACUUGAAGAGAAGUGUUACAACUCUAUCACACGUCCGCUCUUCCUGUUACCAGGAAAGAUCUCCGUGAUCAAAGAGAAUAGAAUAUAUAUUAGAGUGGAAUUUACUAGAAAAAAGUAAUCCCAUAUUUUUCUCUUUUCAUGUUAUCCUUUUUUCUCAGAUAAUUGUGUCGCUUUUGAGAUAAAAGGGUAGUCAAAAUCCCUUCUA